GCAUAGACCCGAAACCGGGCGACCUACCCAUGAGCAGGUUGAAGUUUCAGUAACAUGAAAUGGAGGACCGAACCCACGAACGUUGAAAAGUUCGGGGAUGACUUGUGGGUAGCGGUGAAAUUCCAAUCGAGCUCGGAGAUAGCUGGUUCUCUUCGAAAUAGCUUUAGGGCUAGCGUCUUAAGAAGUGUAUAUCGGGGGUAGAGCACUGAAUGCUCUAGGGGCCGUAUAGGUUACCGAAAGCUAUCAAACUUCGAAUACCGAUAUAUAAAUAAGGCAGUCAGACUACGAGUGAUAAGAUCCGUGGUCAAGAGGGAAAAAGCCCAGAUCAACAGCUAAGGUCCCAAAAUGUAUGUUAAGUGGAAAAGGAUGUGAAAUUGCACAGACAACCAGGAUGUUGGCUUAGAAGCAGCCAUACAUUAAAAGAGUGCGUAAUAGCUCACUGGUCGAGUGGUUUUGCGCCGAAAAUUACCGGGGCUCAAACAUACUACCGAAGCUUUGAACCAGCACUCAACUUUGUUCAUUAGGAGGCAAAAUGUAUUAGGUAUAUAUAUUAAAAACCACAAAAGAGAAUGGUUAAAAGAAAAAAUCAAAAGAAGUUUUAAUGAAUGAAGUUGAGUGCUGGUGGUAGAAGAGCAUCGUAUUAUAGGGAGAAGGAGGAUUGAAAAAGACUCUGGACGAAAUACGAGAGAGAAUGUUGGCAUGAGUAGCGAGAUGUGUGUGAGAAUCACACAGGCCGAAAACCCAAGGUUUUCCAAGGAAGGUUCGUCCGCUUGGAGUAAGUCGGGGCCUAAGGAGAGGCAGAAAUGCGUAUCUGAUGGAUAACAGGUUAAGAUUCCUGUACCUACGCUUAUCGCCAAAGAGGAGAAGGAAUGACGCAGGAGGAUAAGAU
rnacentral:rRNA from 1 species